rnacentral:lncRNA from 1 species
UUAACCUCAUCGAUCGUCAUCUAAACAAAUAAUGUGGAAGUCAGAGAUGCAUUAAGGAAUGAUCACACCAUUUAUAAUGAUAUUAAUACAAUACUGAUAAGCUUUGCAACUAAUAAGAAAAUCCAUGUGAAGGUAACCCUUCCAUAUCAUUGGAAAAACCAUGUUUUAAUGUUUGUGUAAAUGCAAACACACACAGAGAACAUAAAUAGUGAGAAGACUGUCUGAAGUAUCAUUAAAAGUUUGAAAUAAAACCUGCACAGCAGCGGCUGUUUCCAAGGCUAUCUUCUGACUC